rnacentral:rRNA from 1 species
UACAGAGGGUGCGAGCGUUGUCCGGAAUCACUGGGCGUAAAGCGCGCGCAGGCGGCUAUCCAAGUCAGUGGUGAAAGCCCGGAGCUCAACUCCGGAACUGCCAUUGAAACUGUUUAGCUUGAGGAUGAGAGAGGUGAGUGGAAUUCCCAGUGUAGAGGUGAAAUUCGUAGAUAUUGGGAAGAACACCGGUGGCGAAGGCGGCUCACUGGCUCAUUACUGACGCUCAGGCGCGAUAGCGUGGGGAUCAAACAGG